rnacentral:rRNA from 1 species
UUGAAUACGUCCCUGCCCUUUGUAAACCGCCCGUCGCUGCCCGGGACUGAGCCAUUUCGAGAAAUUUGGGGACCGUUGAUUUAAUUUUUCUAAAUUACUUUGAUGGAAGCCAAUUUAAUCGCAGUGGCUUGAACCGGGCAAAAGUCGUAACAAGGUAGCUGUAGGUGAACCUGCUGCUGGAUCAUU